UACGUAGGGUGCGAGCGUUGUCCGGAAUCAUUGGGCGUAAAGCGCGCGUAGGUGGCCAUGUAAGUCCGCUGUGAAAGUCAAAGGCUCAACCUUUGAAAGCCGGUGGAUACUGCAUGGCUAGAGUACGGAAGAGGCGAGUGGAAUUCCUGGUGUAGCGGUGGAAUGCGCAGAUAUCAGGAGGAACACCAAUAGCGAAGGCGGGUCUCUGGGCAACAACUGACGCUGAGGAGCGAAAGCGUGGGGAGCGAACAGG
rnacentral:rRNA from 1 species